AACGAACGCUGGCGGCAGGCUUAACACAUGCAAGUCGAGCGCCCCGCAAGGGGAGCGGCAGACGGGUGAGUAACGCGUGGGAACGUACCCUUUGCUACGGAAUAGCUCCGGGAAACUGGAAUUAAUACCGUAUGUGCCCUACGGGGGAAAGAUUUAUCGGCAAAGGGUCGGCCCGCGUUGGAUUAGCUAGUUGGUGGGGUAAUGGCCUACCAAGGCGACGAUCCAUAGCUGGUCUGAGAGGAUGAUCAGCCACAUUGGGACUGGGACACGGCCCAAACUCCUACGGGAGGCAGCAGUGGGGAAUAUUGGACAAUGGGCGCAAGCCUGAGCCAGCCAUGCCGCGUGAGUGAUGAAGGCCUUAGGGUUGUAAAGCUCUUUCACCGGAGAAGAUAAUGACGGUAUCCGGAGAAGAAGCCCCGGCUAACUUCGUGCCAGCAGCCGCGGUAACAC
rnacentral:rRNA from 1 species